UUGCCUCAUCUAAGUAAGACUACCCGCUGAACUUAAGCAUAUCAGUAAGCGGAGGAAAAGAAACUAACAAGGAUUCCGUCAGUAACGGCGAGUGAAGACGGAGUAGCCCAAGGUUCAAUCCUAGAUCUCUUCGAGGUCGGGAGAUUUAACCUACGGACUGAAGGAACUCGGUGUCGGCAUCUGUUAAUUCCUUUUGGAAUUUAGAGCCAUUGAAGGUGAAAGCCCUGUUCGCGGGUGUUGACACUUAGACCAUACCUUUAGCUCCACGAGUAGGAAUGUCUGAAAUUGCAUUCUGAAUGGGUGAUAAGAUUCAUCCAAGGCUAAAUAUAAGUUAGGAGAUCGAUAGCAUACAAGUACCGUGAGGGAAAGGUGAAAAGAACUUGAAAAAAGGUUAAAAGUAUU
rnacentral:ncRNA from 1 species